UACGUAGGUGACAAGCGUUGUCCGGAUUUACUGGGCGUAAAGAGCGCGCAGGCGGUCGAUCAAGUCGAGUGUGAAAGCCCCCGGCUCAACUGGGGAGGGUCAUUCGAUACUGAUCGACUCGAAGGCAGGAGAGGGUAGUGGAAUCCCGGUGUAGUGGUGAAAUGCGUAGAUAUCGGGAAGAACACCCGUGGCGAAGGCGGCUCUCUGGGACGGUACUGACGCUGAGACGCGAAAGCGUGGGGAGCGAACAGG
rnacentral:rRNA from 1 species